rnacentral:rRNA from 1 species
AACGUAGGAGCCUAGCGUUAUCCGAAUUUACUGGGCGUAAAGCGCGUGCAGGCGGCUUGGUAAGUUGGCUGUGAAAUCUCCCGGCUCAACUGGGAGGGGACGGUCAAGACUGUCAGGCUGGAGGGCGGUAGAGGGAGGUGGAAUUCCCGGUGUAGUGGUGAAAUGCGUAGAGAUCGGGAGGAACACCCGUGGCGAAAGCGGCCUCCUGGGCCGCACCUGACGCUCAGACGCGAAAGCUAGGGGAGCGAAC